rnacentral:rRNA from 1 species
UACGAAGGGGGCUAGCGUUGCUCGGAAUUACUGGGCGUAAAGGGUGCGUAGGCGGGUCUUUAAGUCAGAGGUGAAAUCCUGGAGCUCAACUCCAGAACUGCCUUUGAUACUGAGGAUCUUGAGUUCGGGAGAGGUGAGUGGAACUGCGAGUGUAGAGGUGAAAUUCGUAGAUAUUCGCAAGAACACCAGUGGCGAAGGCGGCUCACUGGCCCGAUACUGACGCUGAGGCACGAAAGCGUGGGGAUCGAACAGG